rnacentral:rRNA from 1 species
UGCCAGCCGCCGCGGUAAUACGGAGGGUGCAAGCGUUGUCCGGAUUUACUGGGCGUAAAGAGCGCGCAGGCGGCCAAGUCAGUCGAAUGUGAAAGCCCCCGGCUCAACUGGGGAAGGUCAUUCGAUACUGCUCGGCUCGAAGAUGGGAGAGGGAAGCGGAAUUUCAGGUGUAGUGGUGAAAUGCGUAGAUAUCUGAAGGAACACCAGUGGCGAAGGCGGCUUUCUGGACCGAUACUGACGCUGAGACGCGAAAGCGUGGGGAGCAAACAGGAUUAGAUA